rnacentral:rRNA from 1 species
AGAUUGAACGCUGGCGGCAUGCCUAACACAUGCAAGUCGAGCGGCAGCGCGGGGGCGACCCUGGCGGCGAGCGGCGGACGGGUGAGUAAGGCAUCGGAAUCUGCCCUGAUGUGGGGGAUAACGUAGGGAAACUUAACGCUAAUACCGCAUACGCCGAGAGGUGAAAGCGGGGGACCGAAAGGCCUCGGCGCAGCAGGAUGAGCCGAUGUCCGAUUAGCUGGUUGGUGGGGUAACGGCCCACCAAAGGCGACGAUCGGUAGCUGGUCUGAGAGGAUGAUCAGCCAACACCUGGGACUGAGACACGGCCCAGACUCCCUACGGGAGGCAGC